rnacentral:rRNA from 1 species
GCGCACCAGUCGCGAAACCUUCGCAAUGCGGGAAACCGCGACGAGGGGACUCCUAGUGCCUACGCUCAGCGUAGGCUGUUCCCGGGCCUAGAAAGCUCGGGAGUAAGGGCUGGGUAAGACGGGUGCCAGCCGCCGCGGUAAUACCCGCAGCCCGAGUGGUGGCCACUAUUAUUGGGCCUAAAGCGUCCGUAGCCGGCCCGGUAAAUGCCUGGGUAAAUCGUGAGGCCUAACCUCAC